ACCGUGAGGGAAAGGUGAAAAGAACCCCGGGAGGGGAGUGAAAGAGAACCUGAAAUCCUAUGCUUACAAGCAGACAUAGCACUACUUGAAAGUGUGAUGUCGUACUUUUUGUAGAACGGGCCGGCGAGUUACGAUGUGUAGCGAGGUUAAGUGAUUAAGUCACGGAGCCGAAGCGAAAGCGAGUUUGAAAUGAGCGAUAGUUGCAUGUCGUAGACCCGAAACCAGAUGACCUAUUCAUGGACAGGUUGAAGCAGCGGUAAGACGCUGUGGAGGACCGAACCCACGUUCGUUGAAAAGACCGGGGAUGAGCUGUGAAUAGCGGAGAAAUUCCAAACGAAUCUGGAGAUAGCUGGUUCUCCUCGAAAUAGCUUUAGGGCUAGCCUCUCGUUAGUGUACCGAAGGUAGAGCACUGUAUGAGCUAGGGGGCUUCACGGCUUACUGAACUCUAACAAACUUCGAAUGACGGAUACAUGAUGCGAGGGAGUCAGACAGUGUGAGAUAAGUCUCAUUGUCAAAAGGGAAACAGCCCAGACCUACAACUAAGGUCCCAAAGUACAAGUUAAGUGGUAAAGGAUGUGUCGACGCUAAAACAACCAGGAUGUUGGCUUAGAAGCAGCCACUCAUUUAAAGAGUGCGUAAUAGCUCACUGGUCGAGUAUCGGUGCGCCGAAGAUUAUCGGGGCUAAAACUUGUCACCGAAGUUUAGGGAUAUGCGAUUGCAUAUCGGUAGAGGAGCAAUGUGUACGGGCAGAAGCUGUAUCGAAAGGGGCAGUGGACUGUACACAAGAGAGAAUGCCGGCAUAAGUAGCGAGAGCAAAGUGAGAAACUUUGCCGUCGAAAGCCUUAGGUUUCCUGGGGAAGGUUCGUCCUCCCAGGGUAAGUCGGGACCUAAGCCGAGGCCGAAAGGCGUAGGUGAUGGACAACAGGUAGAUAUUCCUGUACCACCGACAGUCGUCUAAAUGAAGCAAUGACACAGAAGGACAGUCAAACCGCGUUGAUGGAUAUAUGCGGCCAAAUCAUUAGGCUUAUGUGUAGUGAAGUACGCACAUAGUUAAGGCUGAGUGAUGAUGGGGAGUGAAAACUAGUAAUGAAGUUGAUGAUUCCACGCUGGCGAGAAAAGUUGCUAAAUAUGACUGAAGGUGCCCGUACCGCAAACCGACACAGGUAGGUGAGGAGAAAAUCCUAAGACGAGCGGGAUAACCCAUGUUAAGGAACUCUGCAAAAUCACCCCGUAACUUAGGGAGAAGGGGUACCACGCAAGUGGUCGCAGUGAAGAGGCCCAAGCGACUGUUUACCAAAAACACAGGUCUCUGCUAAAUCGUAAGAUGAAGUAUAGGGGCUGACGCCUGCCCAGUGCUGGAAGGUUAAGGGGAUGUGUUAGCGCAAGCGAAGCACGGAACUUAAGCCCCAGUGAACGGCGGCCGUAACUAUAACGGUCCUAAGGUAGCGAAAUUCCUUGUCAGGUAAGUUCUGACCCGCACGAAUGGCGUAACGAUUUGGGCGCUGUCUCAACAUGGGACCCGGCGAAAUUGUAGUAUACGUGAAGAUGCGUAUUACCCGCGACUGGACGGAAAGACCCCGUAGAGCUUUACUGUAGUCUGAUAUUGGAUUUCGGUGAUUUAUGUACAGGAUAGGUGGGAGACUUUGAAGCAUAGGCGUCAGCUUAUGUGGAGUCAACCUUGGGAUACCACCCUUAAAUUAUUGAGGUUCUAACUUUGUGCCGUAAUCCGGGCAGAGAACAGUGUCAGAUGGGCAGUUUGACUGGGGCGGUCGCCUCCUAAAAUGUAACGGAGGCGUCCAAAGGUUCCCUCAGGAUGGUUGGAAAUCAUCCAAAGAGUAUAAAGGCAGAAGGGAGCUUAACUGCGAGACAGACAUGUCGAGCAGAUACGAAAGUAGGGCUUAGUGAUCCGGCGGUAGAGUAUGGAAUUGCCGUCGCUUAACGGAUAAAAGUUACCUCGGGGAUAACAGGCUUAUCUCCCCCAAGAGUUCACAUCGACGGGGAGGUUUGGCAC
rnacentral:rRNA from 1 species